AUGUCCCCUAGAGUUCCCUGCAAGCACUUCGGAAGGCGCUGAAUCGUACGUAACGUACGUACAUACUGUCUCGUCUGCUGAAGUGUUUGGGGGAACUCCUGGAUUCGU
rnacentral:pre_miRNA from 1 species